UACGUAGGGUGCAAGCGUUGUCCGGAAUUAUUGGGCGUAAAGAGCUCGUAGGCGGUCUGUCGCGUCUGCUGUGAAAACCCGGGGCUCAACCCCGGGCCUGCAGUCGAUACGGGCGGGCUAGAGUUCGGCAGGGGAGACUGGAAUUCCUGGUGUAGCGGUGAAAUGCGCAGAUAUCAGGAGGAACACCGGUGGCGAAGGCGGGUCUCUGGGCCGAUACUGACGCUGAGGAGCGAAAGCGUGGGGAGCGAACAGG
rnacentral:rRNA from 1 species